AGCUCCAAUAGCGUAUAUUAAAGUUGCUGCAGUUAAAAAGCUCGUAGUUGCAUUUCCGAGGCAAGGGAUUAGUCCGACCUUUGGUGGGUAUUUAAUCCUCUUGCCUCGUCCUUGAGUGGUGCUUCUUGGUAUUAAGUUAUCGAGGAGAUAGCCGCUCAUCGUUUACUGUGAGAAAAUUAGAGUGUUCAAAGCAGGCUUAUGCCGUUGAAUAUAUUAGCAUGGAAUAAUAAGAUAGGACCUCGGUACUAUUGUGUUGGUUUGAGAACCAAGGUAAUGAGGAAUAGGGACAGUUGGGGGUAUUCGUAUUCAGUUGUCAGAGGUGAAAUUCUUAGAUUUACGGAAGACGAACUACUGCGAAAGCAUUUACCAAGGAUGUUUUCA
rnacentral:rRNA from 1 species